GAUCAUGGCUCAGGAUGAACGCUAGCUACAGGCUUAACACAUGCAAGGUCGAGGGGAACGACAUUGGAAGCUUGCUUCCGAUGGGCGUCGACCGGCGCACGGGUGAGUAACGCGUAUCCAACCUGCCCACCACUUGGAGAUAACCUUGCGAAAGUAAGACUAAUACCCAAUGACGUCUCUAGAAGACAUCUGAAAGGGAUUAAAGAUUUAUCGGUGAUGGAUGGGGAUGCGUCUGAUUAGCUUGUUGGCGGGGUAACGGCCCACCGAGACGACGAUCAGUAGGGGUUCUGAGAGGAAAGUCCCCCACAUUGGAACUGAGACACGGUCCAAACUCCUACGGGAGGCAGCAGUGAGGAAUAUUGGUCAAUGGGCGAGAGCCUGAACCAGCCAAGUAGCGUGCAGGAUGACGGCCCUAUGGGUUGUAAACUGCUUUUAUAAGGGAAUAAAGUGAGCCUCGUGAGGCUUUUUGCAUGUACCUUAUGAAUAAGGACCGGCUAAUUCCGUG
rnacentral:rRNA from 1 species